rnacentral:rRNA from 1 species
AACGAACGCUGGCGGCAUGCCUAACACAUGCAAGUCGAACGAGACCUUCGGGUCUAGUGGCGCACGGGUGCGUAACGCGUGGGAACCUGCCCUUAGGUUCGGAAUAACUCCCCGAAAGGGGUGCUAAUACCGGAUAAUGUCUUCGGACCAAAGAUUUAUCGCCUUUGGAUGGGCCCGCGUUGGAUUAGCUAGUUGGUAGGGUAAAAGCCUACCAAGGCGACGAUCCAUAGCUGGUCUGGGAGGAUGAUCAGCCACACUGGGACUGAGACACGGCCCAGACUCCGACGGGAGGCAGCAGUGGGGAAUAUUGGACGAUGGGCGAAAGCCUGAUCCAGCAACGCCGCGUGAGUGAUGAAGGCCGUAGGGUUGUAAAGCUCUUUUACCCGGGAUGAUAAUGACAGUACCGGGAGAAUAAGCACCGGCUAACUCCGUG